AGCGCCUGCAGCCUCCGCUGUGAAUGGAGGUAAAAUGAAGAAUUAACAAAUAGGGACUUGCCCCAGGUAGAAUACAUCCCCCCAAAUCCUUGUGUUCAGCCCAUUGAAAUGGGACCAAGAGGUGAAAGCUUAACCUGAUUAUGGUGAGGAAAGGUGGGGUCUUUGGGCAGGGAUCAAUCUCGUGGUCUUACGUGAAGAGAACCGGGCCAGAACAGUAGAGGAACUCAGGGGCGCAGACCCGCCCUGCUCGGCCGGAAGUCUGCCUCCCAUUCUGCAAUGCCUUUGGAUUUGCUAGCCCCCAGAACUAGAAAAAGAACAAUGAAUGGAACCACAAGAAGAGACGUUGUCCUCCAUGGGAUCGCCAUGAACUUCACAGACGCCAACUGAGUGUGUCUUACAAAGUCAAGUCCCCACUGGUUCAGCUCAACAAAGACACAGAACCACUGAUCCUCUAUAGCCCGAAGGCCCAUUCUGGGAGGCUACUAGAUUCCCUAACUGGCAGUCUCCCUCCUGGGUUGGCAUCACUCAGAGAAGCACAGGGUGGCCACAUUCAACACCAACAGUUCCAAGUCUGCAUCUGCCGGUGCCCCGCGCCUUCCACGCCAUGGCUUCCACCUUGGCUGAUCUGAGCUUCGCAUAGACUCCUGCUCUGAGGCUGGCAAGAUAGAGUGGACCCUGUCUCAGCACCUGUCACUAGCAGUGCACCAUAAACUUCUGGCUACCCAAGACUCUGGACCCCUGGACAAGGAGCCUGGAGAGAAAAGACCAUGGUAGAAUACUGGUACUUUGCCCCAUUUCUAGAUCAGUGAACUUAAAGUCAUCAUCCAAUGAAGUUCCCUCAGCUUUAGCUUAUUCCAUUGCAGGGAUCAGGUCGGUGUCAACCUCCCGCUGGAGACAGAAGAAUGUGCCCAGGUUUAGAUUUUUCCUGACGCUUCAUCGUGAUUACAUUCGAGCUCCGUAUUUCGGCAGGAACUGCACUGACAUGAUUGAUGUGUGUCCUUCCUCGUACUUCACAUCAGGAGGUGAGAAACAUUCUCUGCCAACUAUUUCCCACAUUUUUGCUUCAUAUAUGAAAAAGACUGCCAACUGAAGAUAUCUCCCUCAAAUUUCGAAGGCCCAGAAUUCUGUUACUUUUAACUCUGCUCCACAAGUCUGGUCUUGGGAAAAGAUGGAAAAGUUACCUAUAAGGGCAUACCUACUGCUCCCAGCUGCAAGUGCGCCCAAUGGCAUGGAUGCAGAAUAAGAGCUCACAGGAUCCUCCCACCACCCACCACCAUAACCAAGACAGAAAACGGCAGGCAACCGAGGUUUCUGCUGAGAAAUCUAGCAGUCAAAUUAAAUUUCCCUUGGAUGUGAGGUAUUGCUUUCCUCUUGCUGCUUUUAUUUGAAUGUUAUACAAACUUAAAAAUGAGAUCCUGUCACUUGUGACAACCUCGGUAAAGCUGGAAGACAGGAAGUUAAGUGAAACGAGGCAAAUACAAAAAGAAAAAUAUUGCAUGAUAUCCUGUAUGAAAUAUGAAAAAAGGGCAAAUACAGAGAAAUGAAAUGGUGAGUAAAGGGAGCAGAGAGAGAUGUAGGUCAAAGGUACAAACAGCAGAUAUAUAAGAUGAAUGCGUGAGAGUGAAUGGAGAACAUGGGCACUGAUUACAGAAUUACAUCACAUACUGGAAACAGAGUCGAUUUUAGGUGCUUAUAAUACACACACACACAGAGUUUGCAAUUAUGUGAGAAGAUGGUUAAUUUGCUUGACUAUGGGAAAUCAUAUCACGAUGUACAUCUAAAUCAUAGCCCAGUCAUGGUGGCACAGGGGGUAGUGUGCUUCUGUGAGAGACUGGAGCUCCAUGGAAAACCUGGGUAUAGAUCGCAGACCAACGAGAAUGUACUGGACAUGCAUCUGCAGUCCUAGCUAACUGGGAGGCUGCAGUAGAGGAUUUUUAAAUCAAAAUCUAUCAAAGAUGCCUAUUUCUCACCUGAUCCCUCCUGUUCUCUUACGCAAUGCUGUUUUUCGCUCAUUAACCAAUUUUUAAAAAUCAUAUUGAGGGCCAGCAGGUGACGUGGUGGUUGAGGGUGCUGGA